rnacentral:rRNA from 1 species
UACGAAGGGGGCUAGCGUUGCUCGGAAUCACUGGGCGUAAAGGGUGCGUAGGCGGGUCUUUAAGUCAGGGGUGAAAUCCUGGAGCUCAACUCCAGAACUGCCUUUGAUACUGAAGAUCUUGAGUUCGGGAGAGGUGAGUGGAUCUGCGAGUGUAGAGGUGAAAUUCGUAGAUAUUCGCAAGAACACCAGUGGCGAAGGCGGCUCACUGGCCCGAUACUGACGCUGAGGCACGAAAGCGUGGGGAGCAAACAGG